rnacentral:tRNA from 1 species
GCAGUGGUGGUUCAGCGGUAGAAUUCUCACCUUCCACGUGGGAGACUCAAGUUUGAUUCCCUGCCAAUGUA